rnacentral:lncRNA from 1 species
GUCUAAUGCUAACACUUCGUUCGGUUUAGCAGGAAACAGUUGACUCAUUGGCACACAGACUUUCUGUUCUGUCAUUCUGGCAAGGGCACAGGGCUUGCAGCGCUGACACCACUCUUUUACCUUGUGUUCCAUGGAGAACUCAGCAUUCUUGUUGAUGCGGCCUGAGCGAUAACAGUGUGCUUAAAAGCAGAUAAUAUGGCAACCAAUCACUGCUCUGGAGCACCCAUUUUAGCCAUCUCCAAGUGGCUCAAGAAGCUGUUGACUGUCCAAACCACACAUGACUGACCACACAAGUACUCCCUGAAUCUUUUGGUGACUGCCCCUUUUAUAGAAUCUCCAUUUUCAUGGCGCUAUAGUCAUUUUCAGCUGGAUAUAGGCUCCGGUUGAUAUAUGCCCUGCCACCCUGUUCCUGAGACAACACAUCUAAGCCGCUAUGGCCACCAUCAACCUCCAGGAUGAAGGGAAGCAAGAAGUAGGCAAAAGUAAAAGUGGGAGCACUUACUAGACAAGUCUUUAAUUUUAUUUCUGCGCAGCAUUCCAUCCAGCUGGGUUCUCAUCCCUAUCUAUGUCCCCUUUGCCCCAUCCAUCUCAGCAGCCAACCAAUGCAAAGGGGCAUCCAGCUUUGUACAGAGCCCCUGUAGUAGCUUGGGAAGCCUAGGAAGGACCUGAAUUCAGACAUUGGUGGGGCCAGUCACCGACCAGAGGUCUUGCUUGGAUCAGUUGAGACUCUGUCCUGGGAGAUGAGCAGGCAGCAGUGACUACAUCCAUCUCUAUCACAGAGCUGGAGAUGAGGCCGUCUUGCCCUGUAACAGUGUGAAUUCAUCUGAAACAUCAUGCUCCAGGAUCAACUGGCUGCACAGCAAAAACAGUUCUGCCCCUGAUUCCAUUGUUCGUGAUGGAGAGAUUAAGAAAAGUUCACCUCAAGCUGCUAAACUGAGUCUGGGCUGUAGAUGCUCUUUGACCAUCAGAAACAUCUCCUCUGUGGACGCAGGACUUUACAGCUGUCG